CUGACACGGUAAGAAAGCAAUCACUUGAUUGCAUUUUUGUGUUAAUAAAUACCUUUAAAAGCUCUGGUCUCCGAUUCAUGGGUAAGGCACAGCACCCAUUGUACAGCUUGGGCUGACACUGCACAGCACAGUGGCCCCUGGGCUCAUGGGGUCUCUUCUGACUGUCUGGCUUUGCUGGAGGUGCGGGGAGACUGGACUCCCUAUGUCUUCCAAGGCGAAUGCUGUGGCCCCGGCAGGAGGUGUCCUAUGAGCUUCCCAGAGCAGCUUUGUGAACUGGGCACAGCUGGUCUUGUUCUACAGGCCGGUUCUCACAGUCCUACUGAAGAUGGAGAUACCCCAUAGUCAUCUUC